GGAAUUUUCCGCAAUGGGCGAAAGCCUGACGGAGCAAUACCGCGUGAAGGAUGAAGGCCUGUGGGUCGUAAACUUCUUUUCUCAUAGAAGAAUAAUGACGGUAUAUGAGGAAUAAGCAUCGGCUAACUCCGUGCCAGCAGCCGCGGUAAUACGGAGGAUGCAAGCGUUAUCCGGAAUGAUUGGGCGUAAAGCGUCUGUAGGUGGCUUAACAAGUCAACUGUUAAAUCUUGAGGCUCAACCUCAAAAUCGCAGUCGAAACUGUUAGGCUAGAGUAUAGUAGGGGUAAAGGGAAUUUCCAGUGGAGCGGUGAAAUGCGUAGAGAUUGGAAAGAACACCGAUGGCGAAGGCACUUUACUGGGCUAUUACUGACACUCAGAGACGAAAGCUAGGGUAGCAAAUGGGAUUAGAUACCCCAGUAGUC
rnacentral:rRNA from 1 species